AGAGUUUGAUCCUGGCUCAGAUUGAACGCUGGCGGCGUGCCUAACACAUGCAAGUCGAGCGGUAACAGGUGUAGCAAUACAUGCUGACGAGCGGCGAACGGGUGAGUAAUGCUUCGGAAUCUGCCCAAUGGUGGGGAAUAACCAGCCGAAAGGUUGGCUAAUACCGCAUAAGUCCUACGGGAGAAAGCAGGGGAUCGUAAGACCUUGCGCCGAUGGAUGAGCCGAAGUCGGAUUAGCUAGUUGGUAGGGUAACGGCCUACCAAGGCGACGAUCCGUAGCUGGUCUGAGAGGACGACCAGCCACACUGGGACUGAGACACGGCCCAGACUCCUACGGGAGGCAGCAGUGGGGAAUAUUGGACAAUGGGGGAAACCCUGAUCCAGCGACGCCGCGUGUGUGAAGAAGGCCUGCGGGUUGUAAAGCACUUUUAGUGGGGAUGAAAAGCUCAGGGCUAACACCUCUGGGUCUUGACCUAACCCACAGAAAAAGCACCGGCUAACUCUGUGCCAGCAGCCGCGGUAAUACAGAGGGUGCAAGCGUUAAUCGGAAUUACUGGGCGUAAAGCGUGCGUAGACGGUUAUGUAAGUCGGGUGUGAAAGCCCCGGGCUCAACCUGGGAAUGCCAUUCGAGACUGCAUAGCUAGGGUGCGGAAGAGGGAAGCGGAAUUUCCGGUGUAGCGGUGAAAUGCGUAGAUAUCGGAAGGAACACCAGUGGCGAAAGCGGCUUCCUGGUCCAGCACCGACGUUCAGGCACGAAAGCGUGGGGAGCAAACAGGAUUAGAUACCCUAGUAGUCC
rnacentral:rRNA from 1 species